rnacentral:rRNA from 1 species
CCUACGGGAGGCAGCAGUGAGGAAUAUUGGUCAAUGGGCUUACGCCUGAACCAGCCAAGUCGCGUGAGGGAAGACUGCCCUAUGGGUUGUAAACCUCUUUUGUCAGGGAGCAACGCCGGCUACGUGUAGCCGGACUGAGAGUACCUGAAGAAAAAGCAUCGGCUAACUCCGUGCCAGCAGCCGCGGUAAUACGGAGGAUGCGAGCGUUAUCCGGAUUUAUUGGGUUUAAAGGGUGCGUAGGCGGAAUGCCAAGUCAGCGGUAAAAUCGCGGGGCUCAACCUCGCUCCGCCGUUGAAACUGGCGUUCUUGAGUGGGCGAGAAGUAUGCGGAAUGCGUGGUGUAGCGGUGAAAUGCAUAGAUAUCACGCAGAACCCCGAUUGCGAAGGCAGCAUACCGGCGCCCAACUGACGCUGAAGCACGAAAGCGUGGGGAUCGAACAGGAUUAGAUACCCGGGUAGUC